ACGCUAAUACCGCAUAUUCUGUGAGCAGGAAAGAGGGGGGAUCGCAAGACCUCUUGCUUUUAGGAGCGGCCGAUGUCGGAUUAGCUAGUUGGUGAGGUAAAGGCUCACCAAGGCGACGAUCCGUAGCGGGUCUGAGAGGAUGAUCCGCCACACUGGGACUGAGACACGGCCCAGACUCCUACGGGAGGCAGCAGUGGGGAAUUUUGGACAAUGGGCGCAAGCCUGAUCCAGCCAUGCCGCGUGAGUGAAGAAGGCCUUCGGGUUGUAAAGCUCUUUCGGUGGGGAAGAAAUUGCACAGGAUAAUACCUUGUGUAGAUGACGGUACCCGCAUAAGAAGCACCGGCUAACUACGUG
rnacentral:rRNA from 1 species